rnacentral:rRNA from 1 species
UACGGAGGGUGCAAGCGUUAAUCGGAAUUACUGGGCGUAAAGCGUGCGCAGGCGGUUUGUUAAGUCCGUUGUGAAAUCCCCGAGCUCAACUUGGGAAUUGCAAUGGAUACUGGCAAGCUGGAGUAUGGUAGAGGAAGGUGGAAUUCCCGGUGUAGCAGUGAAAUGCGUAGAGAUCGGGAGGAACACCAGUGGCGAAGGCGGCCUUCUGGACCAAUACUGACGCUCAUGCACGAAAGCGUGGGGAGCAAACAGG